rnacentral:lncRNA from 1 species
ACAGCAUGGUGACCCAGUUACACAUACAUGUAUACAUUCUUUUUUCUCACGUUAUCAUGUUCCAUCAUAAGUGACUAGACAUAGUUCCCAGUGCUAUCCAGCAAGAUCUCACUGCUGAUCCAUUCCAAAGGCAAUCAUUUGCAUCUAUCAACCCCAAACUCCCGAUCCACCCCACUCCCUCCCCCUCAGCAACCACAAGUCUAUUCUCAAAAUCCAUGAGCUUCUUUUAUGUGGAAAGAUUCAUUUGAGCCAUAUAUUAAAUUCCAGAUGUAAGUGAUAUCAUAUGGUAUUUGUCUUUCUCUUUCUGACUUACUUCAUUCAGGGUAUUUCUAUGUCCACGGACAUGCUGACUAUACUAUUAUGGCCAGAUUCUACCAAGGGAAUGAAAUUAGCACAUUAUAGAUAAGCUAGAUGUCCUCCUGGUUCUCCAUGUGUACCUUCCUCAUAGCACUGCCAAUAGUUCUCCCAGAAAAGAUGCAGUUUUGUCUUCUGGAAAAAAAAAAAUCUUUCCUCAAGGCUAUACUUUGCUUUUGGCCUUGUUUUUAAAGGCCACACAAAGCACAUUCUGGGGUUCCACAUGGUAGCGUUAUGGUACCUCCAGCCUCCUCUCUGCUGUUUUUCUGCAACGUCUCCUCUUCUCUAAGGUAAACACCUUCUGUGCUUUGAGCCAGCCCGUCUGUGCCUUUCCUGCAUGUAGUCAUCCUUCUCUGGCACUGCUUCAGUUUGCCCACAUCUCCCCAAAACACAAAGAAUGUUGCUAGUGAGGUCUAACCAGCCAAAGUACAUGUACUGGCUUAUUACCACACCCGAAGACUGAUUUUUUUUUUCUUAUUCUUUUUUUAUGGCCAAAUCCAAGUCAUAUGAAAGUUCCCAUGCUAAGGGUUGUAUUGGAGCUGCAGCUAUAGGCCUACACCACAGCCACAACAACACUGGAUCUGAGCUGCACCUGCGACCUACACCACAGCUUGUGGCAAUGCCCGAUCUGUAACCUACUGAACGUGGCCAGGGAUCAAACCUGUACCCUCAUGGACACGAUGUUAGGUUCUUACCCACCGAGCCACAAUGGGAACUCCCCCAAAGACUGCUUUUUGAAACCAGUUUCACGGAUCUUCUGGCUUAUGCUAUUUAAUAUUCUACUAAGUCAGCACACACUUCAAACUCCAAAGAAGAGAAAGAUGGAUAGGAGGAAAGGAAAGUAGAGGGAAGUUAAGUACUGGACGAAGGAAGAAGGUUGCAGAGAUGGAACUAUUUCCAGGAAAGGCUGUGGAUUCCCUGGAUCCAAGUGUCCUCCUAUCUAAGCAGAACAUGCUUAGAAGUAAAAUUUAGUAAAAGCAAUCCCCUCCAAACACUUUCUCUUACUUUGCCUGAAAGCUUGUCAUUUGAAGAUUUAUUGGAGUUAAUAAGGAAAAACAAAACAUAAAUAAAACGCAAACACAAACCAACCAGAAAACCCACCCACAAUAACAUGGGUUACCAGAUAAUCGCACACCUCAUGAGUUUUAAACAGAAAGCAAUUUGGUUUAGCAAAUGACAACAAGUUUUGAUGUUGAUAAGUUUUUUACUGGGAAUCUAGGGAUGGUUGGUGGGGAGGGGGGGAAAAUACAAAAUCCACCCUGGAGGAUGGAUAGGAGAACCCUGCCUCCCGAAAUAAAAAUCAGUGCUCAGGGAUGGACAGAGAGCAGAAGAUUCAGAACUGGCACAGUGGCCAAACGCUUGAGACACAUGGAGCCCUUGAGUACUCUGCUGGUUGGGAGGCUUGGAAGAAACGUCACCAUGGAUGCCAAGGGGCGACCACUGGGCAGCAGGAGGGCUGCAGAGAGUGGUUUCUGAAGGCAAGUUCACCUUCGUGGCCCUUCAACCCAGGACCGGUUAAGCAGUGCUUUCAUCUUCCCUGAACCCAAGUGCAGAUGUGACUUAUUACACACGGACAUGGACACAUCCAGUUUUUCUCAGCAUCUCCGGGGCCUCACCCAAUGUCUAGUAGCGAUCCAUCAAGAAUCAGUGAUGCUGGACAGUCUCCCCACCAAAUGCCUGGACUGCAAAAUGCCACCACUCGAAGGGGAGGUGAGGGGCUUGGCUGGCAGGCUCUCCAGGACAUGCUGGCUCUCAGGGGUCCUCAUGGGACUAGAAAGGGGAGGAGCAGAGCAAGGUCCCAUUUAAAGAGAACCACAGGGUUCCAAGAGCUCACAAAGGAGCCUGGGUUUUGCUCUCAACUUUACAGAGUUAAACUGAAUCACACACAAUGGCAGUCUAAUCAUUCCACUUUCUUUCUGAAAAAGAGCCUCAGCUGACCCCUUAGAUCUAAUCUUUUAGGAGGGGGGAAAAAAACCCAAACAAAACAACCAGUAGGAGGGGGGAAAAAACCCCAAAUAAACCAAACCAAACCAAACAACAAGCCAUGACUACAGCUUAUUAGGUAAGCUGUAUUAGGUAAUUAUUAGGUAAGCUUAUUAGGUAAUCUUUUAGGAGGGGGGGAAGCACAAACAAAACAACAAGUAGGAGGGGGGAAAAAACCCCAAAUAAACCAAACCAAACCAAACAACAAGCCAUGACUACAGCUUAUUAGGUAAUCUUACACACCAGUGACCUUGGAUACCAAGUAUUUGACCCCCCAAUGGCCCCAGCUGAACCCUAUUAAUAUCCGGGAACUCACACACCUGUGUUUUCUGUGCAUCAACACAUUAAUAAGGCAUUGCAUUCAUGCUAAACUCCAGACAGAUGAACUGGAUUCACUCCUAAGGAUGUGUGUUCGGUUAAUGAUUAAAGGUUACACAAAAGAUUUAGGAAACAUUCUGCAUCUGUAGGACACACGCUGCAAAACAAUGGAUUGCCUCUGUUGUUAGUUUUAAACAAUCAUUUAGCAUGAAUUCUUUGGUUCAAGAGGGUAGUUCUCAUUCCUGCCACCGAAGUAAGAUAUGCCACCCUGCAUAUCUUUAGGUUGCCCACAAACACAGUCGAUUGCAUGAAUGAGAACAAGUGGGGUCAGGGGGGAGGGGGCACACCAGUGCCAGGGGCAGGAGAGGUUUGCUUGCCCAUUCGCCAAAACCUUUACUGCAGGAACAGCACCUCAGUUUUUCUCUCCUCCACUUUCAGUUCAUGUGAUCUAAAUUUCCACUCCUGUCGCUUUCCCCAAACAUCCAGGAGUGGGAGAUAACCCAGAACUGGUGAGGUGCAAAGUGCCAUGCCCAAUGGCCAUAGGGAUGGUUACCAAGCACAAGACAGAUCAACAGAACCCACUCAGGACUAUAUAAGAAAGCAGAGUUGCGUGCUGGGAGAACAGAACAGAAUCCUGCUAGACAUACAGCCAGGACAACCCCAUGGCUGUCUUGAUAAAUAAACAGAUACAUUGACUUGGGGGGUCUAAAGUCAGUCUGAAUUGGGUUUCUUUAAAUUUUUUCUUAAAAAGUCUGAAUAAGGGAGUUCCCGUUGUGGCUCAGUGGUUAAUGAAUCCAACUAGGAACCAUGAGGUUGUGGGUUCGAUCCCUGGCCUUGCCCAGUGUGUUAAGGAUCCACGUUGCCGUGAGCUGUGGUGUAGGUUGCAGACGUGGCUCGGAUCUCUCGUUUCUGUGGCUCUGGCGUAGGCUGACGUCUACGUGAGGGAUUCAACCCCUAGCCUGGGAACCUCCAUAUGCUGCGGGAGUGGCCCAAGAAAUAGCAAAAAGACAAAAAAGAAAAAAAAAAAAAAAAAAAAAAAGAAGGCUGAAUAAGAUGAAGGUCUGUCUACUGGAAUUUUACUUCUUUCGACUUAUUCUGUUUGAAUACCAUUUCAUAUGCAGGGGCGACACAGCCUUAAGAUAGCUCCAAAGACGCUAGGCUCUCAGUAUUCACAAUCUGGUGUAAUCCCAUCCUCCAGUGGAGACUGACCGGGUGACGCUCUUCUCAUGAACAGAAGGCAAGAAUGCUGGGUUGUCAGUUCCAAGAUUAUGUUACAGACACUGUAGCUUCGGUCUGGCAUGCCCUAUCACGCUCUUUCUCGGCUCACUUGCUCGAGGAGAAACCAGCUGCCAUUUUUGAGCUACCUAAUAGAUGGUCCGCUUGGGAAAAUACUGAUGUCUCCAACCAACAGCCAGCUGGGAUCUGAGACCACAGCCGCAUGAAUGAGCUUGGAAGGGAGCCUCGCCCAGUCCAGUCUAUGCCUUGACUGCAGCUUAAUGAGACAGUGUGAGCUCAGCUAAGUUGCAAAAGAUUUCCAACCCACUAGAACUACGAUGUAAUAAGUGUUUAUUGUUUUAAGCUGAAAGAGUAGGGGAGAAUUUAUGUCGCCAUAGAUAGCUAAUAGAUUGGAAUUCAUCCAAACAGAUUAACAAUAAAAUACGUAUUGUCCUUUGCCUCUUUGUGAUGUUUCCCAUGACAACUCUCAACUUAUAAAAAGUCCUUCAUUUAGAAGACUUUAAACAUGCAGUUUCAAUGGUUUCAAGUACACAGCAGAAUUCUCUUAGGUUGAUAAGAUCUCAUAUUCGAGCAACACGAUUCUUUAAGAGCCUGACCACUGAAAGUCCAUUCUAGCAUCAUCUAGUCAACAAACACACCGGUGCAUCUGCUCCGUGGCAGGCACAGGGGGAUGAGUAAGACAGGGGAGCCUGUUUCAAUAGAGUUCAGGGUCCAUUCAGGAAAGAGGAAAAGCACAGAAAAACAAGUCAAUCGAGAGGAGCGCCACCACUCAUUAACUAUGUGACACUGUACUUGCCCACUGUUUUCCUCUCCUUUAUCUAUAAAGUGGGGGAAUAACACAACAACAGCUUGCUCAUCGACUCGUAAGACUGCUAGAAGGACCACAAAGUAAAAUGCAUAAAAAGCAUUAUAAAAUUCUAAAAUGCAUUAAGUGUAAGUAUAAUUACUGCAACGCAUAUGAUCAAAACGACAAUAUUCAGGCUUUGCUAGAGAAUUAGACAGGAAUGAUUCCCUCGGUAAUUUGUUGUUGACGAGCAUGUGACAUUUCCAUUAACUAUUUACACAUGUCCUUAAAUUUGAAAGUCGCCCUCAAAAGAGUUGCUUGGUCUUGAUUAUUUUGUCCAAAAUCAUGCCGUGUGAAUUACUUCUCUGUAUUUAGACUUCUCCUACUUUCUUUUAAAUUUAUUCUCUGUCAGAAAACAGUUCUUAUAAUCGUUCAAAACACGGAAAGUUAUAAAGAACGUGGAAACGCUACUCAUUUUGGUCAAGUAAUGAUUUUUGUAAGCAAAAAACAUUUCUGUCCUGUAAAACAGGCAAAAUUUUCUUGGAUGUUCAAUUUAAACAAUGUCUAGAGCUACCAUUUAGAAUCAAUUAAACGUUCUCAUUACUUGUACUGCCUUUCUUCACUAAAUGCCCUCUGAUAUACUCUGUGAUUUAUUAGAUCCACAUUUUGAGGUCACUGAAAAA